UCCACGUCGACGCUAACGCGCGCCCGG
rnacentral:sRNA from 1 species